GCGACCGUGGUGUAGUGGUUAGCAUCCCGCCCUUCCAAGGCGAUGACCCGGGUUCAAAUCCCGGCGGUCGCA
rnacentral:tRNA from 1 species